rnacentral:rRNA from 1 species
UACGAACUGUGCGAACGUUAUUCGGAAUCACUGGGCUUACAGGGUGCGUAGGCGGCUUGUUAAGUAGGGUGUGAAAGCCCCCGGCUCAACCGGGGAAUGGCGCCCUAAACUGGCGAGCUAGAGUGAGAUAGGGGUGUGUGGAACUUCCGGUGGAGCGGUGAAAUGUGUUGAUAUCGGAAGGAACGCCGGUGGCGAAAGCGACACACUGGAUCUUGUCUGACGCUGAGGCACGAAAGCCAGGGGAGCGAACGGG